CGAAGAGGCGAGUUCUCGAUCGGCAGCGCAGUCCAGUGCAGGAAGGACGUUUGAGUUCAGUUCCUUUGUCUUUUUUUGUUUUUGAAGGAAGCGACACAGCUGCUAAGGUCAGCGGGAUACAGAGAGGGACGGAGAGAGCGGGUCGUUGUCAUGGCGCCCAGCUAAACAAUGGAGGGAGGAGGUCGCAGAGGAGGCAGCAUCACACUGUUGCGACCGAAUCAUCUCUGUGGUGGGGGAAGCGGUGCAUGCUGGGAUUGCGGCCCGCUGAGAGAGCGGCAUUCUGGGAGGCGGUGUCCUGCGGGCCCGGGCCUCUGGGGAUGCAGCACGGUUAAUAGGCCUUUCAUGGCCGCCCCACAAAGCCCUUUGUCCCGAG
ensembl:lncRNA